rnacentral:rRNA from 1 species
AUUGAACGCUGGCGGCAGGCCUAACACAUGCAAGUCGAACGAGUGGCGGACGGGUGAGUAAUGUCUGGGAAACUGCCCGAUGGAGGGGGAUAACUACUGGAAACGGUAGCUAAUACCGCAUACUAUCAGAUGUGCCCAGAUGGGAUUAGCUAGUUGGUGGGGUAACGGCUCACCAAGGCGACGAUCCCUAGCUGGUCUGAGAGGAUGAUCAGCCACACUGGAACUGAGACACGGCCCAGACUCCUACGGGAGGCAGCAGUGGGGAAUAUUGGACAAUGGGCGCAAGCCUGAUGCAGCAAUGCCGCGUGUAUGAAGAAGGCCUUCGGGUUGUAAAGUACUGUCGGCGGGGAGGCGGUACCCGAAGAAGAAGCACCGGCUAACUCCGUGCCAGCAGCCGCGGUAAUUC